GAUGACAUGCUUCAGGCCUUCUUUGCAUCUGCGAUGUUAGAUGAGGAUAACAGGAUGUACUGUGAUGACUGCCAUGACAAAACAAUUACAACAAUUGAGCAAAAAAUACAACAGCGUCCAACCAUUAUGGGGCUGCAAAUCAAGCGAUUUGAGUUUAAUUACCAAAUGAUGGAAUGGGUCAAGAACCGUUGCUGCAUCUCCAUUCCAUCUAUUGUACAUUUUGAGGGCUGCAGUUACAGAGUUUAUGGAGUUAUUAACCACAACGGGAGCCUCAAAAGCGGCCAUUACAACGCUUACAUUAAACCACCAAAUGAUGACCAAUGGUACAAAUUUGAUGACAGUUGUGUGCAAAAGCUAAAAAAGGACCAUAUUAAAAGACAUUUUGACAGGACAUCAGAGGCAUACUUAAUUAUGUACUUGAAAUGCCUUCCUCCUCCUGGUCCGAUCCAGUUCACAUCAGUGACAUCAGACUCCGUGUCUCUGUGCUGGGGAACUCCUGAAGGCCUGACUGGGCCUCAGAGAUUCAGAGUGAACUGGAAACAGGAAAGAAAGAGCAUCAUAGUUCCAGUUACAACAAUCACCAUUGAGGGCCUGAGUCCAGGAGAGGAGUAUGAGUUUUCUGUGGCCACCAUAGGUGACAGUGGCAGCCAGAGUCCAUGUGUGGUGGCAUCUAUACAAACAGCUGCAGGAGACCAUGCCAGGAUACUGGGCGCAAAGCCGGGAAAAGGGGAAAAGAGGAAAAGUGAAAGUCAGGGAGGUCCAUGUUGGUCCGAGUCUUUUCCAUGAUGAUGGGUAAAUCAGGGGUGACUCCUGCUCCACAUAUGAGUUCAUAUUAAUGGGGCUGAUAUGGAGCACUUGUGGCAUGUUACCAGGGGAUGGGCAGAGUCACUGUUAUGUAACACUAAAUAGUGUGUGUUUAAAGCGUUCAGUUUAUCUGUAUACAUAUAUAAUGUCAAGGAUGCAUUUACAAAAAAUGACCGGAUGCAUAACAGGUAUGCACAAUCAUACAAUCAGGAACAUGUACAAUAAGCAUGAAACUCCAGCAACAUAUACUCUAUACACUAUAUACACAGUGUAUGUGGCCACAAUUUAAUUCUAUAAACAACAACAACAACAAAAAGUAAAUAUUGUCUGAUAGCAGCAAUUGCCUUUAUUACAUCAAGGUGAUACCCUUAAUUCCAACAACAUUCAAUAGUGUGAAACGCUAGACUCAGGUGAAGCAGCGAGAUGCGUCCCUGAUCAUAGGCCAACAGCAGGUCAUUAACCACUUUAACCAGCGCUUUCUCGGUGCUAUGAUGAGGUCUAAAUCCCAAUUGUUAUACUUCAUGAAUGUUGUUGCUGUCUAGGUUACGCGCUCAGCUGCUGGGCUACGACUUUUUCAAAAAUUUUCGAUGUAAGCGGAAGGUUGGAUAUUGGUCUAUAAUUCGAGAGCUGACUGCAAUCAGCUUUGAUCUGGGGGCAGUUCCUCCAAUCAGUUUCUUUGGCAGGACAAAGGUGUGGUUUAGGGCUGAGGAGACUUAAGGCCUGAGAGCAGCCUUCUGGACUUGUGUACCUUUUGAUGUAAAAAAAAUCUGUCUGGUUGCUUAUAUGAUUCAAGAUGUGAACAUUGAAUUCAGUCAGAAAAGGAACAAUUGUUUCAGAGCCAAAUACCAUAUUAUCUCAUAAAAUAAAAUACCUGAUUUCACACGAUCUACUGAUAUUGUGUUUUUAUUGGUCCAAUAAGGUACAGUCUCUAUUCUCAGAUUAAUUGAUGUACCCUAAGACACAAAUAUACAAAUAAAAAACUGAAUUCCUUGUCUGAUUCUUGGUGUAAACAAUGAUAUUAUUACAGUUGAAUUAUAUGAGGUUAAAGGUUAAAUGCAGAAAGAUGUCACUGGAUGAAAAGGAAAAAAAACUUUUUUGGGGACCUGAAAAGGAACAGUAGCCACAUUUAUGUGUGCAGCACUAAGGAGAAGCAAAAAAAUAAAAAUAAAAAGGAUAAAGCUACUCAUGAACAGCAGUGGAAAUUAAAGAAUUACAUUUUCGGAAACAAAAACCAUGAGCAAUGAAUCCAUGGUUUUAAUAUUUUGUUCAAUGUCUUCAAUGGCAUUAAAGCCAAUGAUGGGAUGCUCAUUGGCAACCAGGACAACUCAUUCCAGCUGCAGUAUUCAUGGAGAAAGUAAACUCAGUUUCGAUCCAUCCCUUUUAUGGGAUCUCUGUGCCAUUUGAAGCUGAUGAUGGCUCCAAUAUCUCCUCCCUACCAAGUUUACAAUUUGCCACUGUUUACCAGUGAGAUGUGUUUACUUGUUUACUUGUUCCAUCUCUUCUUUUUUCACACGACAACCUGAUGCCCAGUGUUCUCUGCUGCCACACUUAUAACAGUGAUCACACCUUCCACCUGAAUUGGACAUUUGGCACAUCUUACACUGUCCUUUUACAUUGGAAUUCAAAUCUUUUGUCCAUCUUUUUCUGAUGUAGACUGUCUAUUUGAGUGGUGAGUUGGUCCACCUUAUCAAUCAAUGUAUCUUGUUUAGUUGUCUAAUACUGUUUAUUCUUGUUCUUUGAUUUGCGCAUGCAGCUAUCCUUUCCCAAUUCCUCAUUUCCUUCAGUUAUUGCUGCAACGCUCUGCUUUCGAAACAGCUGACAGCUUAUUCUUCCACGCCAUCUCCAGACUGUAUGCCAUAGUCAUUUUCUCCAGGAGAGUUUCAUCUGUCAACUUGGGAUUUUGCAAUAUGGGAUUUUAAUUGGGGUUUCUUUUGUCUCUUGUACAGCAAGAGUCAGGGAGUGGUAUAACUCAGUGGCAUCUAUCUAAAUUUUACGAGUGGGGUAAAAUUUGUCUGAGGGCUUGCAAUGUCAGAUUCACUGUAUUUUUGAGAUAACUGAAUGAUAACCUCCACAAUUUCCACUUCAUCAUAUCUUUUCUUCAAGGCCCUCUGAAUUUGUCUUUCCAAACUGGUCUACACUCUAAAAACUGCUGGGUUAAAAACAACCCAAUUUGGGUUAUUUUGGUAACCCAGCGCUGGGUCAA
ensembl:lncRNA